UGCUUGUAUGGGUAAUAAACCUAUACCAUACAGUAAAUAAAAUAAUUGCGGAAUGAAUAAAGUAAAGACAAUUAUUUGUGGGUUCAUAUCAACACCACAAUCAAAUAGUAUGAUAUUAUUAUACUGAUAUAUCAAAUCAUUUUAUGUUCUUUCCACCUGGCAAUAAUUCUUUGUUUCCUUUACGAUGUUGCUUUUCACUAGGCUUUCUGUAUGCCACUUGUCA
rnacentral:lncRNA from 1 species